UACGUAGGGUCCGAGCGUUGUCCGGAAUUAUUGGGCGUAAAGGGCUCGUAGGCGGUUUGUCGCGUCGGGAGUGAAAACAUCUGGCUUAACUGGGUGCUUGCUUUCGAUACGGGCAGACUGGAGGUAUGCAGGGGAGAACGGAAUUCCUGGUGUAGCGGUGAAAUGCGCAGAUAUCAGGAGGAACACCGGUGGCGAAGGCGGUUCUCUGGGCAUUACCUGAUGCUGAGGAGCGAAAGUGUGGGGAGCGAACAGG
rnacentral:rRNA from 1 species